UCGGUUUCGUCGCCGCUAAGGGGUGGUGGU
rnacentral:piRNA from 1 species